rnacentral:rRNA from 1 species
ACCGGCAGCUCAAGUGGUGGCCAUUUUUAUUGGGCCUAAAGCGUUCGUAGCCGGUUUGAUAAGUCUCUGGUGAAAUCCCGCAGCUUAACUGUGGGACUUGCUGGAGAUACUAUUAGACUUGAGGUCGGGAGAGGUUAGGGGUACUCCCAGGGUAGGGGUGAAAGCCUAUAAGCCUGGGAGGACCACCUGAGGCGAAGGCGCCUAACUGGAACGAACCUCACAGUGAGUAACGAAACCCAGGCGCGCGACACG